AACGCGAUUAACCCCGCUCUAUCUCCUACUUUACCUCUUUCCUAUUCCUUUUUUACAAUAAUUACAGCCACGCGCGAUGCAUCUCUUAGCCCAGAAUCGAGAGAAAAACGAAUCACGAUACGCAUACCGACGCGCUUUUGUGAUCCCGGCAAUCAAACCGGUUCCAAGGAGAAGACGAGGGAACGAAGAUAAAGAUCGUCGAACACGUAUGCGAUCUUUUUUCCUUCUUUUUUUUUGAACAUUAAACAGAUUUAACGCGUACCAUGUUGAUCCACUUGGUUCGUUAAUGGCUUCGAGAUAUACAAGAAAGCGCAAGAAACGCGACAACAGCUCCACGCGUGGAUAUAUUUGGAACAAUUUAAACAUGGAUGGAACAACUUCUACCUUGUUCAUCUUACGGAAAAUUUAUGUCGAAGUAGCGUGUGUAUAUAUAUAUACGGAUAAGAAGCUAUUCGUUGUAUAAAUAACGUGGAGAAAACUUGUCCUGGACGACAAACGAGCACGAGUAGAAUCAUUGAGGUAAAACGAAGAACGCGUGAACACGACAACAUAGAGGAGAAGGCGGGGGAAAAAACGUAUUUCCUGCACGAGCGCCAUCGAGCGGAUCGAGAGACGAUGCUCGAUUACUUCCUUUUACGGCUUAAUAUAUGGAGAAGAGAAGAGAAGGAAGGAUGUAUUAAAAAAUUAUCGUGGAAACAAAUUGCAGAAGAAGUUGAAUUUGUUCUUUCGAGGAUAACGAUCUCGAAAAAAAUAAAAAAAAAAAAAAGAAAAAAAGAAAGAAGUUUAUGUUUUCAAGAAGAUAUCUUUCUUGAAAUCAGAGGAGAGGAGAAGGUAGCAUAAAACGUGUGUAGCAUUGCCACAUUUAAAUCGACAUUUUCUUCGAAUAAUAAAAAAAAGGAUAAGAGAUAAGCGUGAUUACCAUUACCUAACGAGUAGGACGAGUCGAGAAUCUAUACGAAUUCAUCUCUCUCGCGAGAUAGCUGCUAGUAGAAAAACGUAAAUAUAUCUUUUCGCUGAUCAAUUUCAACUCGUCCAGUUUGAAUAAAAAGUAACAUUUCAACGUGUGCAUAUUUUACUUUUAUUUCAUUCCUUUUUAACUACUAUUUUUAAUCAUUCGGUCGAAAAACAAAUUGCUCGAAUAAUCUUUAUAAAGAGAUGGAAAUCGUAUUCAGGCCAUGAAGAUGGGCUUUGAAGAUGUGAAGAGUUUUGAUUGGCGAACGACACGAGAAACACGGAUAGGCGAAGGGCGAAGAAAAAGAUUCUCAGGAACCACCUCCCGGAAGGUGUGCACGCGAUAUAAUAAGAGAACGUGGUCACACCGACCCAGAAUCGUAGUAGGCAGCUCGAUGUGGGACAUAGCGGCACUUCUUACGGCCAUAGAUACCUUUCCCAUCUGUUGGCAAACGACACAAAGCUUGUCGACCUCGCUUCGUUUCGACGCGUGCCCCUUUGAGCAUCGCGAUCGAGGAAGGAAAGAAAGAAAGAAAUGGAAGUAAUUAAUGCCAGCGAGAACAAUCGCGAUAACAGGUUACGUAUCAACAGGUUUGAAAUUAUGAUCGUGGAAAAAGUUCACCGAGAGUUCAAGCGCUGUGUGCUUGAAAUUCAAAGGCCUUCUUUGUUGACCGCAAUUUUGCACAUCUUUCCCAGAAUAUUUGAUACGUAUAUUUGAAAACGUAUAUAUUUUAGUUUUAGUUUAGAUGAAUUUUCUCUUUGACUGAAUUGGUCAAUUAAUCGACAAAAUUUAAUAAUCCAAGUUACUUCGAAUAAUGUUAUUUGGAUAAUUUAUCGUUCAAAACGUAAUAAUAAUAAUAAUAAUAAUAAUAAUAAUUGGGAAUAAUUGUAACGCCAAACGAAUCAAUUAUAACAGCUACGAGUAAAGUUAUUCAAGCAUUUUAAUAAUUAGCGAAAUUUUUAACUAGUUACUUUUUCAACGAACUAUUGUCCAACUCUGGACGGACACUAGAUAAUAACACUAGAAAAUCACUAAUCAUCCACAGAUGUCGUAGGCGACGUUGAUGAAACGUUGGAGAUAGAAAAACCCGAGGAAAUGUAUUCUUCUCUUUUCCAAUACACAAGAUUCGAAGAACAAACUACUCGCUAGGCUUAAUUAUUUGAAACGAAUUAAAAUUUUCCUCGCGUCCUCGUAACAAUUCUCCGCAAGUUGCGUCAUCGAUUCGUAAUAAAUAAUUAAGAGCAACGUUCGUGGACGGUUGAACGGGAGCGCUUCCGCAACGGUGCACCGUUACCGAUCGAGAACGUUUUUUUUAACGAGAGUACGGUCGACAUCCACCCGAUCUCGAUAAAUAGUUUUGGUUUGCAUGUCGAGCUGCGUUCUCGUUCUCCAUCUUCGCGGAAAUUGCGAACGAAGACGGCAUCCAGGAGGAGAGAAAUGGAGAAUCAUGAAGAAUGCACGCGUUAAUUAAUUAAAACUUUUUGAAGUCGCGGUAGAGGGAGCCUCGGGCUGCGAAAAUUCUCGUUCGACCAGAUAAACGGGAUAUACGCAUCCGGAGUCACGGAUAUCUUAUUCCUCUUUUUCUCUCUCUCUCUUUACUCUUUUAUCAAUUAGAUACGCUAUACGGAUGUAAAUUAUGACAAAUUUAUAUGAAAAUGCGAUAAGCGCGGUUGAACUUGAACGAAUGAAAAUCGAACAAAGUAACGUUAUCUAAUAUUAUACACGAGAUAUAAUAUUAAUUCGCUAUUUUAACGUAUUUCAAUUUUUAUUUUUAUUUUUAAUAUAUAAGGAAACGUGUCGAUGGGUAUAUCCUGGGUGAACUCUGGAAGGUCAUCGAUCGUGAAGAGAACGAAAGUUUUCAAGGAAACGAGGAACGACAACCUCGAAGAAGGAAAAAGUAAACUCUGAAUUUCUUGGAACUGCUACUAAUUGCUCCGCUCUCGUGAUAAUUGACGAACACGUGAAAAGUGAAGAUACUCUCGUGCUCUCGGCUCAUUUUUCACGCGAAAGGAAUAUCAUUUUUUAUCGAGCGAACAUUACGUGAAAUAUGGGUUAGAGAAUCGAUUAAGAAGAAAAAGAGAAAGAAAGAAAGAAAGAGAGAAAGAAAAAUCGAUAACUUUAAUCGGUGAGCGGAAAGUAAUGGGUAACUGGUAUUACGAAAACGGUGUCGGUCGAACGAGUAAAUUGUUACAUCAAGAGGAAGCAUUUUAUUCGCCGCUCGCGAAAGUGCGCGUUAAUUAUACCAUCGUUAAUUACACGGCGUGUAAAGGAAAAAAAAAUAGAAAAUGUUUGUAAACAACGCCGGUAACAUGGCAUCAUUCACCGACCAUUUCCUCCAUGAAAUUCUGAUUACCCUCGUCGUAAUAUCCGCACCUGCAUUGUAUUCCACUCGCGAUAAAAUCAAAUCAUCGAUCGUCAGAUCCAUUUUUCUAUCUUCGAUGAUGGAUCGUUAUUAAGUAUCAUCUCUCUCUUAAACCCUGUUAAAUUCGUCAUUUUCCUUAAAGUCUCUUUAGUUUCCUUUGUGCGUGGAUUUUUUUAGAAAAAAAAAAAGUUUCCUCGUCCACCUCAAAAUAGAAAAAAAUCCUAUAAAACGCCAUUACUUCCAGGAUUACUUACCCGCUCAAAAGGAGUAGGAUUCUCUUCUAGAGGAGCGUUGGCUGGGCUCGUUUCGUUUUCAGAUCCCGAUUUAUUAGAUGGUUCGCUCGUGCAACGGGUAUUGGCAUCUCGAUCGAUGGACUUGACGAGUCAAUGGCGGCGCUCAGUGGCGGCAACUUCCGUUUCU